GGAGAGUACAGCCCAGCAGUAGGGUGUAUGCUUAGCAUGCCCAAGAUCCUGGGUUCAAUCCCCAGUACCUCCA
rfam:Camelus ferus unplaced genomic scaffold scaffold1681, whole genome shotgun sequence.